rnacentral:rRNA from 1 species
AGGACGAACGCUGGCGGCGUGCUUAACACAUGCAAGUCGAGCGGAAAGGCCCUUCGGGGUACUCGAGCGGCGAACGGGUGAGUAACACGUGAGCAACCUGCCCUUAGCUUCGGGAUAGCUCCGGGAAACCGGAAUUAAUACCGAAUAUGACUUUGGCUGACAUCAGCAGAAGUGGAAAGUUUUUCGGCUAGGGAUGGACUCGCGGCCUAUCAGCUAGUUGGUGAGGUAACGGCCCACCAAGGCGACGACGGGUAGCCGGCCUGAGAGGGCGACCGGCCACACUGGGACUGAGACACGGCCCAGACUCCUACGGGAGGCAGCAGUGGGGAAUAUUGCGCAAUGGGCGAAAGCCUGACGCAGCGACGCCGCGUGGGGGAUGAAUGCCUUCGGGUUGUAACCCCUUUCAGCAGGGACGAAGCGAAAGUGACGGUACCUGCAGAGAAGCGCCGGCUAACUACGCGCCAGCACGCCGC